UCUUAAUAUUUUCAUUAAAUCUCUCUGUUUCAUGGGUGACUAAUUAACUGUCUAUUUUAACUAACUCUCUCUAUUUCCUUGCUGCAUGUUUCAAAUAUUUACUUCUCUUGCUUAUUAUGUUUGACUUAAUAUUUCAUUUUCUUAUUUUAACUCUUCUCUCUCGGCGAUGUGUUCGGUUGCAUUAGACCUUUGGAAUGUUCAACCGUCUCCUAAUUUGAUGCACGUCGUUCAAAUUGCAUUAGGUUCAUGAAUCAUAAUACAAUGUUGUAGUGGUUCAAUGUAUAGAUAUUCUUUUCUUAAUGUGUGAAUCACUUAUCCAUAUGCUCUCCAUCAGUUGUCUUGCUUCAUAGUAUAGCAUAGGUGAAAGUAUUGUGUUGUGUUCAAUGGAUGAUAUGUUUGCGUGUGAUGACAUCACAUGUGCACAUGGUAGAGAAGGCUUCUUAAAUUUAGAUGUGGUUUUAACAAUCUUUUUCAGUGUUUAUUGUAGCCAUGACCAAAUCUGAUGCCACGUGCCAACUUUGCAAGUAGUGUUGGGUGCAAUUUUAUUGAAGAAUCCAAAAAUAAAAUUUGGAGAAAAAUGGAAAAAAAAAAAAACUAUAAAACAGUAGGAGAAGUUGGGGGUAAGAGGUUUUAUGGAGCUUGGUUUUUGAGGAGAAACCUUUGGGACUAUGACGUAUUGUUUGUUGAAGCCUUGGAUGUUUGUGAAGGUGCACAUUCUGCUCGGGGAAUGCUUGGAGCACAUUUAGGAGGGCAUAAGGAGCAAACUUUUGUUUGUUACUACGGGGCUUGGUAGCAGCUUUGGCAUGGUUCUUGGGAAGGAAUAAGGUGCUUAUGGUUGAUAAUAUUCAAAAGCGGAAGAUUAUGAUCACCAAUGUUUGCAUGUUGUGUAUGCAGAACGAGUCGAUGGACUAUCUCUUUAUUGAUUGUCCAUUUGCUAGCGAGUUUUGGGAGAGGUUCUUGGAGGUAUUUAGUAUGACGUGGGUGAUGCUAGGCUCCAUUGAUGGCCUUUUUCUAGCCUUGCAUGAGGGUGGGAUUGGGUGAGGAUGCUUUGGAGACUAAUCUUAUUGGCUGGAAUUUGGGUUUUUAUAGAUUUUUGGGAGGGAAAAAUUGAAUGUAAUGGAAUGGGCCUCAAAUUCAAAUAUUAAGGAUCUUGUUGAGUGUC